CUACGGGGUGCACCAGUGAGGAAUAUUGCACAAUGGGGGGAACCCUGAUGCAGCAACGCCGCGUGGAGGAUGACGCAUUUCGGUGUGUAAACUCCUUUUAUAUGUCAAGAAAAUGACGGUAGCAUAUGAAUAAGCACCGGCUAACUCCGUGCCAGCAGCCGCGGUAAUACGGAGGGUGCAAGCGUUACUCGGAAUCACUGGGCGUAAAGGACGCGUAGGCGGGUUGGAAAGUCAGGUGUGAAAUCCUACAGCUUAACUGUAGAACUGCACUUGAAACUUCUAAUCCAGAGUAUGGAGGGGGAGAUGGAAUUAGUGGUGUAGGGGUAAAAUCCGUAGAUAUCACUGGGAAUACCUAAAGCGAAGGCGAUCUCCUGGAACAUUACUGACGCUAAGGCGUGAAAGCGUGGGGAGCAAACAGGAUUAGAUACCCGGGUAGUC
rnacentral:rRNA from 1 species